UUAUAUUGCUUUAAGAAUGGUCAAAAACUU
rnacentral:piRNA from 1 species